rnacentral:rRNA from 1 species
CCUACGGGCGGCAGCAGUGAGGAAUAUUGGUCAAUGGCCGGAAGGCUGAACCAGCCAUGCCGCGUGAAGGUCAGUGCCCUAUGGGCGUUAAACUUCUUUUGUGCGGGAGCAAUAAUGGUCACGUGUGGCCAGACGAGAGUACCGUACGAAUAAGCAUCGGCUAACUCCGUGCCAGCAGCCGCGGUAAUACGGGGGAUGCAAGCGUUAUCCGGAUUUAUUGGGUUUUAAGGGUGCGUAGGCUGUGAGGUAAGUCAGCGGGGAAAUGCCCCCGGUGAACGGGGUGGAGUGCCAUUGAUACUGGCUUGCUGGAAGGCGGAUGCCGUGGGAGGAAUGUGUGGUGUAGCGGUGAAAUGCAUAGAUAUCACACAGAACACCGAUUGCGAAGGCAUCUCACGAAUCCGCGAUUGACGCUGAUGCACGAAAGCGUGGGUAUCAAACAGGAUUAGAUACCCGGGUAGUC